rnacentral:rRNA from 1 species
CAGCCGUAAACUAUGCGCGUUAGGUGUACUGGUGACCACGAGUCACCGGGUGCCGAAGGGAAACCGUGAAACGUGCCGCCUGGGAAGUACGGUCGCAAGGCUGAAGCUUAAAGGAAUUGGCGGGGGAGCACCACAACGGGUGGAGCCUGCGGUUUAAUUGGACUCAACGCCGGAAAUCUCACCGGAUAGGAUAGACAUAUGAUAGUCGGGCUGAAGACUCUACUUGAUGAUCUGAGAGGUGGUGCAUGGCGUCAGUGACU